GCACCUAGUUCUUAUAUCCAGUUCUGAUUGUCAGUGCAGAUCCUGGAGGAGCUGUUGUGCCAAAGCAAUACUGAGUAAAUCCAGAUGAGUCUCUUCUAAAUUGAGGCUUGUCUCUACAACUUAGCAACAGAC